UGGGAGGGUGAGCAGCAGCCUCCUCCCAGAGGGACUCUGGGCUGGGGAACAGGGUCCAAGGAGCUGUCCGGGGGCAGUGACCAGGGAGUCCAGGAGAUGCCGCUGAGCAGAGGAGGGGAAGCCCCCCGGGGGGAGGCCCUUUCUGCAGUGGCCUCUCCCAUCGCUGGAGAGCUGAGAGCCGCUAACCCCUCCCUGCCCCUGGCCAGCUCUCCACGAAGGUGGCAGCCCCCACGCUCAGCCUCUCACGGCCACAACACUCACGUCCGAGUUCCAGGCUCAGUCCAGAGAGGAACACGCCUGCUACCUGGUGCCCGCCAGCUCACGGACUGCCGGGGGACAACAAGGGCCUGACCUGCUGAGCCUGGGCCACCGCCCGCAGAAAGGGGCUGACGACUAGGUUAUCAGAGAAGAGUCACUGGCGGAAACCACUGGCUUGCUUCUGCACCAGGGAUGGCCUCCAGAGAACCGGGCUCAAGAGGGUGCUCUCACUGAAAGGAGCUGCACGCGGGCCCCAGGUAAAUGGACUUGUCUAAACAUCUGUGGGCUUCCCAGGUGGUGCUAGUGGUAAAGAACCCGCCUGCCAAUUCAGGAGACAUAAGAGAUGCAAGUUCAGUCCCUGGGUUGGGAAGAUCCCCUGGAGGAGGUCAUGGCAACCCACGCCAGUAUUCUUGCCUGGAGGAUCCCACGGACAGAGGAGCCUGGAGGGCUAUCGCAUCGUAAAGAGUCAGACACACACACGGAAACAUCAAUAAAGAUAAGCUUCCUUCUGGCAUUGGAAAUACUUGUUUCCCCCUAAAUCUUGGCCAUCUUGUGGAUGCAGGCUACGGCCUCCCUGUAGGGGUCGGGCA
ensembl:lncRNA